rnacentral:tRNA from 1 species
GAGAGAGGUCAGAAACAAUGAGGACUGCUAAUCCCCAUCCCCGCGGUUAAACUCCGCGGCUCACUCAU